AUUUCGGAAUGUUUUGUACACGUUGAGAACGGCUAAGUUUUUUUAAUUCACGUGUGAGACUGCAGCGAACGCGGCUUUGUGUGAAACCUAAGUAAAAAAUAAAUAAAAUAAACGAUAUAGUUUUAAUUUUUGAUCUAAUUGUUGUGUGGGUCUACUCUAAAGUUUUUACUCUGCAGAAAACUGACGAGAAACCCAACCCACCAACAGACGAGGAAGAUGAAAAUCAUAGUGGUUCAGCAUAUACAAAGAAAAAAGAUGCUAAAUAUAAGCAGACUAUACAGAUGCUCAUCUCUGCGAAAACUCACGUGACUACAACGCAAACACAGCAUCACAGUUCAUGCUUCUUCAGUCAGGAUGUAAAGAUACACAGGAUAACCAACAGAAGCUGAAGGAAUGGCAGACAUUACUCAGACACCUGUGAACACUGAGCAGUGGUUGAAGUCCAAGACAGUGAAAUCAUCUUUAUUAUACUUCUGACUGAACUAGCAAGGAGCAUUAGAGACAAUGAGAAAGUAAGUUCAAGUAAAAUGUUUGCAUUGAAUAUUUUACAGUGUUAUUUUUUGUAGUAACUGCAGGGAAUAUUAAUUGAAGAUACCUGGUCAAAAGCAAGCUUUGGAUCUACUGAAUGUGGAUUUUUCAAGCAUUUUAUUGCAGGUAUCAUUGUUAUUUUUCUGCAUAGCGAUGACUCGUGAAAAGUGUUUAUUAAUUUACUUCAAUGUAUAGUUAACCAGAAUUCUGUCUUUUACGUUUUACCAAACCUCUUACUUUUGUUAUCUGCAGAACUCAAAAGAGAUACUUUGAAGAAUGCUGGUAAUCAAACCCAACAAGUUUGUCAGGUAUGGACAGUACGAAGGGGACCAGGUAUCAUUGUUAUUUUUCUGCAUAGCGAUGACUCGUGAAAAGUGUUUAUUAAUUUACUUCAAUGUAUAGUUAACCAGAAUUCUGUCUUUUACGUUUUACCAAACCUCUUACUUUUGUUUAUCUGCAGAACUCAAAAGAAGAUACUUUGAAGAAUGCUGGUAAUCAAACCCAACAAGUUUGUCAGGUAUGGACAGUACGAAGGGGACAAAAUGAUUUUCAUAUUUUGGGUUAACUCUCUUUAAUUAGCAUGCUACACACUAAAUAUUAAUCAUGCUGGGCACAGCCUCUUAUUGUGCUGUCACUGCAGUUGGUGCUGUAAAUAGUCUGUCAAAUAACAGGUACAUUGCUACAACAUACAUUUAAUGUAGUUCACAAUGAUGCAUUACGUUACACCUUUACUAAUAGAUACUUGUAUAAUAUUUGCUCUUUACAGGUGCAGAAAUAAAAGCUCCCAAACAAAGAUGUCACCGGAUUAAGAUGUGGAAAAACCAUAAAUCCUGAGUAAUUUGAAUAUGGUCAACAACCGAAGAAAAGUACCCAUUGUUUUAGUCAGAAAUGAUUCAUGGUAAUAGUAAUAGUAAAUGAUUAGAUAAAUAAAUAAAAAGUACAAAAUGGUGUUAAUUUUAAAACUCUGUCAUUUACUAAUGGGUUAUUCAAAACACUAAGUUUUGGUGUAUCUUUACAAUAAGGUAUCAUUAGUUAACAUUAAUAAAUGUUGAAAUUAACAUUAAAUAACGAGCAAUACAUUUGUUACAAUUUGCAUUAAUCUUUGAUACGGUUAAAAAACAACAACUGUUCUUUGUUAGUUCAUGUUGGCUCUGAUCCAUUAAAUAAUGUCAACAGGCACAACUUUUGUUCUUAAUGUAUUAGUAAAUGUUGAAAUUACUAGGUUAUAUAUUAACUACAGUUAACUAAGGUUAAUGGAAAAUGGGCAACAACCGAGGAAAAGUACCCAUUGUUUUAGUCAGAAAUGAUUCAUGGUAAUAGUAAUAGUAAAUGAUUAGAUAAUAAAAAGUACAAAAUGGUUUUAAUUUUAAAAACUCUGCCAUUUACUAAUGAGUUAUUCAAAACACCAAGUUUUGGUGUAUCUUUACAAUACGGUAUCAUUAGUAAACAUUAGUAAAUGUUGAAAUUAACAUUAAAUAACGAGCAAUACAUUUGUUACAAUUUGCAUUAAUCUUUGAUACGGUUAAAAAACAACAACUGUUCUUUGUUAGUUCAUGUUAGCUCUGAUCCAUUAAAUAAUGUCAACAGGCACAACUUUUGUUCUUAAUGUAUUAGUAAAUGUUGAAAUUAACUAGGUUAAUAUAUUAACUACAGUUAACUAAGGUUAAUGUUAAGUAUUUGUCAUGUUAGUUCAUGUUGGGUAGGUAACUAAUGUUACAAAUGAAACCUUAUUGUAAAUUGUGAAGUAUCACCUGUGUUUAUUGUUUAUACGUGUUAAAUUAUUUAUACGUAAGUAUAAAUAAAUGUAAGGGUAAUUUAGUUAAAUGUUAUGUUUUUGAUAUUUAUAUAAACUUUCUGUAUAACUUGUCGUUUUUUGUCUUCUUUUUUUGCUGUAAUUGCAUAGUUUUGUAAAUAAAUUGUUCUCAUGCCAACUUAAUCCAGUGAGUUCUUUACUUUUAAAUGCAUUUAUCAUAAUGACAUGCGUUAGGGUUAGCGGUAAGUAAACAUUUUGGCAGCAUAUCAAUUUUAAAUGAAAGAUUAGUGAACAGUAAAGAAGAUAUUAAAAAUGAAUUCGGCCCACGCCCGGGGCGCUGUACACUUCAGUAUCGUGCCGAUUCCGGCACGGAUGUGGCAGUGUCGGUUUU
rnacentral:lncRNA from 1 species